rnacentral:rRNA from 1 species
UACAGAGGUCCCGAGCGUUGUUCGGAUUCAUUGGGCGUAAAGGGUGCGUAGGCGGCGGGGUAAGUCUGAUGUGAAAUCCCGGGGCUCAACCCCGGAACUGCAUUGGAUACUGCCUUGCUAGAGUACUGGAGAGGAAACUGGAAUUUACGGUGUAGCAGUGAAAUGCGUAGAGAUCGUAAGGAAGACCAGUGGCGAAGGCGAGUUUCUGGACAGUAACUGACGCUGAGGCACGAAGGCCAGGGGAGCAAACGGG